rnacentral:RNase_P_RNA from 2 species
UGAGUAAACUAGAUGAUCGCAGGCAUAAGCCGCAAGGCUGUGUUUGAGGAAAGUCCGGGCUCCAUAGGGCAGGGUGCUGGCUAACGGCCAGUGAGGGUGACCUCAAGGAUAGUGCCACAGAAAUAAACCGCCUUCUUUUGAAGGUAAGGGUGGAACGGUGCGGUAAGAGCGCACCAGCAGCUAGGUGACUAGCUGGCUAGGUAAACCCCACUUGGAGCAAGACCUAAUAGGGGAACGCAUGGAGUAGCCCGCUCUGUUCCCGGGUAGGUCGCACGAGGUGCUUGGUAACUUGCAUCCCAGAUAGAUGAUCAUCCACGACAGAACCCGGCUUACGGUUUGCUCACUUA